AGCGAACGCUGGCGGCAGGCUUAACACAUGCAAGUCGAGCGGGCCUCCCUGUGGUGUCAGCGGCAGACGGGUGAGUAACGCGUGGGAACGUGCUCUUCGGUUAGGAAUAACUCAGGGAAACUUGAGCUAAUACCGGAUAUGCCCUUUUGGGGAAAGGUUUACUGCCGAAGGAUCGGCCCGCGUCUGAUUAGCUAGUUGGUGAGGUUACGGCUCACCAAGGCGACGAUCAGUAGCUGGUCUGAGAGGAUGAUCAGCCACACUGGGACUGAGACACGGCCCAGACUCCUACGGGAGGCAGCAGUGGGGAAUAUUGGACAAUGGGGGCAAGCCUGAUCCAGCCAUGCCGCGUGAGUGAUGACAGCCUUAGGGUUGUAAAGCUCUUUUCUCCGGGACGAUAAUGACGGUACCGGAGGAAUAAGCCCCGGCUAACUUCGUG
rnacentral:rRNA from 1 species